rnacentral:rRNA from 1 species
AAACGAUUGAAGUCAGUCGUGUUGGUUAGUUUCAGCUGGUUCUACCAGUGUAUUGCUAAUCAACGGGUCAACAUCAGUUAUACUCGGUGGAAAAAGGCGUAGAGAAUGUGGCACCUCCGGGUGUGUUAUAGCUCUGCGUCACAUACACUGGGCGUGACUGAGGAAUGCAGCUCGCCUUUAUGGCCGGGGUUCGCCCACGUUCGAGCUUAGGAUGUUGACAUAAUGGCUUUAAACGA